AACGAACGCUGGCGGCAGGCUUAACACAUGCAAGUCGAACGCCCCGCAAGGGGAGUGGCAGACGGGUGAGUAACACGUGGGAACAUGCCCAAAGGUACGGAAUAUUCUCGGGAAACUGGGAGCAAUACCGUAUGUGCCCGAAAGGGGAAAGAUUUAUCGCCUUUGGAUUGGCCCGCGUUGGAUUAGCUAGUUGGUGGGGUAAAAGCCUACCAAGGCGACGAUCCAUAGCUGGUCUGAGAGGACGACCAGCCACACUGGGACUGAGACACGGCCCAGACUCCUACGGGAGGCAGCAGUGGGGAAUCUUGGACAAUGGGCGCAAGCCUGAUCCAGCCAUGCCGCGUGAGUGAUGAAGGCCCUAGGGUUGUAAAGCA
rnacentral:rRNA from 1 species